CUGGCGGCGUGCUUACACANGCAAGUCGAGCGGAUGAAGUUUCUUCACGAAAUGGAUUAGCGGCGAACGGGUGAGGAACACGUGAAGAAUCUGCCCUCCACUUUGGGAUAACACCGGGAAACCGGUGCUAAUACCGAAUAUUGAAACAUAAGUGGCAUCACUGAGUUUUGAAAGAAUUUCGGUGGAGGAUGACUUCGCGGCCUAUCAGCUAGUUGGUGAGGUAAUGGCUCACCAAGGCAACGACGGGUAGCCGGCCUGAGAGGGCGACCGGCCACACUGGGACUGAGACACGGCCCANACUCCUACGGGAGGCAGCGAGUGGGGAAUAUUGGGCAAUGGAGGAAACUCUGACCCANCUNACGCCGCGUGCGGGAUGAAGGCCUUCGGGUUGUAAACCGCUUUCAGUAGGGAAGNAAGCGAAAGUGACGGUACCUNACAAAAGAAGCNACCGGCUAACUUAUGGUGCCA
rnacentral:rRNA from 1 species